rnacentral:rRNA from 1 species
AAUGAAVGCUGGCGGCGUGCCUUAAACAUGCAAGUCGUACGAGAAAGGGGCUUCGGCCCUGAGUAGAGUGGCGCACGGGUGAGUAACGCGUGGGUAAUCUACCCUUGGAUUUGGGAUAACUCUGCGAAAGUGGAGCUAAUACCGGAUAGUCUGGCUUUAAAUAAGAAGUCGGUAAAGGAUGCCUCUGCAUAUGCAUUCGUCCGAGGAUGAGCCCGCGUCUCAUUAGCUAGUUGGUAGGGUAAUGGCCUACCAAGGCAACGAUGAGUAGCUGGUCUGAGAGGAUGAUCAGCCACACUGGAACUGAAACACGGUCCAGACUCCUACGGGAGGCAGCAGUGGGGAAUAUUGCGCAAUGGGCGAAAGCCUGACGCAGCAACGCCGUGUGAGGGAUGAAGGCUUUCGGGUCGUAAACCUCUGUCGGAAGGGAAGAACGGGCAUUGGUCUAAUAGGCCUUUGUUUUGACGGUACCUUUAGAGGAAGCACCGGCUAACUCCGUCCCAGCAGCCGCGGUAAUACGGAGGGUGCAAGCGUUAUUCGGAAUUACUGGGCGUAAAGCGCACGUAGGCGGCCUUGUAAGUCAGGGGUGAAAUCCCACGGCUCAACCGUGGAACUGCCUUUGAAACUGCAGGGCUUGAAUCCUGGAGAGGGUGGCGGAAUUCCUGGUGUAGGAGUGAAAUCCGUAGAUAUCAGGAGGAACACCGGUGGCGAAGGCGGCCACCUGGACAGGUAUUGACGCUGAGGUGCGAAAGUGUGGGGAGCAAACAGGAUUAGAUACCCUGGUAGUCCACACCGUAAACGAUGGAUACUAGGUGUCGGGGACUUGAUCUUCGGUGCCGUAGCUAACGCGUUAAGUAUCCCGCCUGGGGAGUACGGUCGCAAGGCUGAAACUCAAAGAAAUUGACGGGGGCCCGCACAAGCGGUGGAGUAUGUGGUUUAAUUCGAUGCAACGCGAAGAACCUUACCUAGGCUUGACAUCCUGGGGAAUCCUGCAGAGAUGCGGGAGUUCCCUUCGGGGAAUCCAGAGACAGGUGCUGCAUGGCUGUCGUCACCUCGUGCCGUGAGGUGUUGGGUUAAGUCCCGCAACGAGCGCAACCCUAUUCUCAGUUGCCAGCACAUAAUGGUGGGCACUCUGUGGA